rnacentral:rRNA from 1 species
GACGAGCCACACAACCGUUAUUCGGAAUUACUGGGCUUAAAGGGUGCGUAGGCGGCGCGGAAAGUGGGGUGUGAAAGCCCUCGGCUCAACCGAGGAAUUGCGCUCCAAACUACCGUGCUCGAGGGAGAUAGAGGUUAGCGGAACUUCGGGUGGAGCGGUGAAAUGCGUUGAUAUCCGAAGGAACACCGGUGGCGAAAGCGGCUAACUGGGUCUUCUCUGACGCUGAUGCACGAAAGCCAGGGUAGCAAACGGG